rnacentral:rRNA from 1 species
AUUGAACGCUGGCGGCAGGCCUAACACAUGCAAGUCGAGCGGUUGACGGGAGCUUGCUCCCUGAUUCAGCGGCGGACGGGUGAGUAAUGCCUAGGAAUCUGCCUAUUAGUGGGGGACAACGUCUCGAAAGGAACGCUAAUACCGCAUACGUCCUACGGGAGAAAGCAGGGGACCUUCGGGCCUUGCGCUAAUAGAUGAGCCUAGGUCGGAUUAGCUUGUUGGUGAGGUAAUGGCUCACCAAGGCGACGAGCCGUAACUGGUCUGAGAGGAUGAUCAGUCAACCUGGAACUGGGACACGGUACAGACUCCGACGGGAGGCAGCAGUGGGGAAUAUUGGACAAUGGGCGAAAGCCUGAUCCAGCCAUGGCGCGUGUGUGAAGAAGGUCUUCGGAUUGUAAAGCACUUUAGGUUGGGAGGAAGGGCAGUAAGUUAAUACCUUGCUGUUUUGACGUUACCGACAGAAUAAGCACCGGCUAACUCUGUGCCAGCAGCCGCCGUAACAC